UAGAAGCUGCCGACUGCUAGCCUGCUAGCCGCAGGCACAGGUGGAGGAAACUGCCUUGCUGCCUUCGUUCUCUCUGAGGCCUCCUGGUCUUAUUUAACAAUGUAAUCUACACGAUAUCGAUGUGUUGCCUUUGACAAGGGUCUUCACCUCACACCUGGGAGCAUCUGGGAGAAGGGGUCCGGAAGGAGAGGAUUCACUAUCUGCUUGCUCCAUCCAGUAAUGGAUUCCUUCUCACAAGACUGGUAGUUCUUUAAAAUCUGGGGUGAUCAGUCCUCCUUCUCUGCAACUGGAUUUCAGUUCAGUUCAAGGUUUAGCUGUGGCUGUCUGCUUCUACUUCCACCAGCUGCUGGAUGAAGGCUAUAGGAUGGAAUACAACCAAAGGCCCACCAGGCGAUGUGCACUGUCUAGAUUGUGCUGCUGUAGUGGGAUUUGAUUCCAGGGACACAAACAGUCCCAGACAGCAGAAUGAAAAUCAGAGUCAAGCAUCUGAAAGGACAAAGAGAACUGUAACAUCAGGAAACGACUCUGCUUCAUAACCCUGAAGACCUGUUGCUGUUUCAUGCAGGCAUCGAUUGUGGAAGAUGGGAAGGCCAAGAUAAGGCAGCAACAGAUUUGCUGACUUAUACUUGCUGUCUUCUCAAGAUGAGGCCCUUGAAUCCUUUUUUUGGAAAGGAUCCUAAUUCAUAGCUUCAUUUCUUCUUGUUGCUGUCAUCAUCAUCAUCAUCAUCAUCAUCAUCAUCAUCAUCAUCAUCGUAAUCAUCAUUUUCAUAUAUGAAUUUCACAAACACACAGACAUUCAGACCACAGCGGAUGGGAUUUCCAAAUUGGUAUCGUACCUGUGCUCUCAACAGGACAUACCCCAGAUCUACUGAGUGCCUGUUCUAAUUGAUGAUGCACAUUCCAGGUGAAUGGUUUCCGUAGGGAAGCCCCAUUAUUAAGAUUUGUUAGAUAUAAAACAGUUCUUUGGUUACAGGUAAUGCUUUUGAAAUAAGCUUGGUGGUGCAGGUUUAAAAAAUGGUGGCAUUAGCCAGGUGGUGGUGGUGCACGCCUUUAAUCUCAGCUCUUGGGAGUCAGAGGCAGGCAGAUCUCUGUGAGUUCAGUGCCAAUCUGGUUUACAGAGUUAGUUCCAGGACAGGGUCCAAAGCUACUCAGAGAAACCCUGUCUUGAAAGAAAAAGAAAGAUGGUGCUUGCCAGACAGAAUGUAGAAGGCAAAGCAGAUAUGCUGGAAUAUUACUUAUUUUGUUUGAAAAAUUCCAUUUAUUUAAUGUAAGUAAUAUCACUAGAAAACUGCAGAAAACUGUUCAGAUUUUCUUAGGCACAGUAAACAAAACAAAACAAAACAAAACAAAAACCCAAAAACCAGAGCAGGCUAAGAGCUGGUAUUAUUUAUAUAUAAUUACAGCAUUCCACUUCCUCCAGGAACCCCAACUUCCUCCUUCCGCUUCCCCCAGGAAGUGAUGGAAUCUCAAAUCUUAGACACCAUUAUGGAUCAAAUGAUGUAAGCAAAUGUACAGGAGUGUGAGAUUAAUUUUGGUUGUAACUUGGCUGGUUUGAGGUAUACCUGGAGAACUGGCCUCUCUCUCUCUCUCUCUCUCUCUCUCUCUCUCUCUCUCUGAGUUAGUUUGAUAUAGUCCCAAAUAAAAAUAAACAUAUAAAAAGUCUUCUACAGCUCUGACCACAGGGUAGGGUAGGGGGAGGUUAAUGUGGUAUGUUGGUUAUAGAGAAGGCUUGAUGAACCACCAAAGCCAGCUCUUAACAUCUUAUGGGGAAGUUGAAAGAGUGUGUGCAAAGUUUAUAAGCCUUUCCAAAAAGGCUCAUGUAUUCUAAUUUAUUUAAGUUUUAAAGGACUCUGUGUGUGUGUGUGUGUGUGUGUG